rnacentral:lncRNA from 1 species
CGGGUCAGAGCGACGGCAGGGAUGGGUGAGAGCAUCCGGGAGAGGCGAGAAACACUAUAAGUGACGCAAGAGAUCUUACGGCCGAGAGCAAUGGCGAUGAUAAUGGGGUCAAGAGCAGUACGGUGGUUAAGGACGUAGAGGUUUCCAGGUGUGCCUGGGGAAGGAGGAGGAGGACGGUGGCCACGGAUAGUGAGGUGAAUACCGAGGAUCUCGUAAGUGUAACGAACGAAGCGUUCGGGUAAAGGGAGGUUGAAGUAGACGCGGAAGAUGGAGAGCAUGAAGCCGAAAGGAAGCCAAAGGUAAAUGAUUAUGGCGUUUAACGGCGUAGGGCGUUGGACUAGACGGCCGUCGUGGAAGAUUAUACGGUUCUUGAGACGUUCUAUGGGGACUGUUGUGGCUGAUUUGGACUCAGGCACCAUGUAACCUUCCUGUUACAAGAGAAAAGCAAGUCGUUACCAAUCAUGUAGUAAAAGAUUCCAAAGUUAUACAAUUAUAGUAAGAAAGCUCGUAAAUUACUGAAAGUUUCAGUGGUUAGGAGAAAAAGAAAGAAAGGAAUGUUGAAAUAUGGGUUCGGUCAUUAAAUGGGACCAUCCAACUUAUGUGGGGGAAGGUAGUUGGGGGUAGGUAGGAAGCAUUUAUGAAAAUCACUACUACUAUUCUAUUCUGUUAUCUACUUCUUUUUUUGUCACUGGAAACUUAUUACGUUCCUUUCUUGAAUUUCAAAUAAUAAAACUACUCAAUCUAGAUAUUUCAUGCGUGUUUUUAUUAUACAUACAUACACAUACAAAUAAUUUGGACGUAAAAAAAAGUGAAUAGAUCAUGUGAAGGCAUGUGAACACGCAACACGGCAUUAAAUAGGUCCUACUGCAUUUAUGUGUAGUUUUCAAGUACUUACUUCUUUGAUUACGAAAUGUUUCAAAGUAUCAGACGUUUAUGCACUCAACUUAAAUCUAAAUCUCAGGUCUUAAAGAUUCAAGAAACUUAGGUAAGCUUGAGAAAGAAGAUAUAUGUUAUAUAGUACCUUGCAAAUGGACAUGAAAUCAUGAUCGGAGGUGCGGUCACCGAGGCCAAGAUCCGGUGAUUCUUCCCCGAACUCCUUCAAGAUGGCUAAUCUCUUCAAGUCUCCAACAAGAACACCUGGCUUCUUCACAAACCCUGUGGCUUUCAUCGUUUUGGGAUUCACUUCGAUCUCUGUUCCCAAAACUUUAUCUCCUCCCAAGUAAUCCUUAACGAAAGCCUCAACCAUCACUAUCGGAUUAGCAGUCACCACCACUUUCCUCUUGCAUUUAUCAAACACCUCGAAACUGUCCUUCCUCACAUCCGCCGCGUAGAACCGUGGAAGAACGGCGCGAGAGACGAGCUCGAUGUCGCGGAUUUUGAUGCCGGCGAAGGAGAUGUAGAUGAGGAUUUGGAUGCCGAGAGCUUCGGAGACGAAGAGGUAAGCGAUGAUGACGAUCGGGAGAGAUAGAAGGAGGAUCAAUCCACGGAAGAGGCUGCCUGCUUCUAUGGCGACGAGCAUGAAAUAAGGGAAGGAGCUUCGAGAGAGGAGCAUAGUCCCGUCGAGAUCUGCAGCGAUAGAAUCAUACUCUCCACUUUUACACUCGCUUAUCGGAGGAAAGCUUCUGCUCUUCUUCUUCGCCGGAGACAUCACUCUUUGAUGGUAAACAGAGAGGAUAGAGAGAGAGAGAGAGCGCUUCUUUUUGUUGUUAAUCUUGGAAAGAAAGAGAGGGAAGGGGUUCUUUCUUGUUUUAAAUGCACUGCAUUCCUUGCCGAUUUAUAUUAUCAUUCCUAUCCAAUAUAUGACAUAUUUACUAAUUUAUCCUUAAACUAUCUUUUCUAAACAAUUAUAACCCUUAUUCUUUCUCACUUUGUCAUCAUUCUCACGAAAAUAUAUAAAUUCCGCAUCACAAGAGUCAUAACAAAGUUUUGGACUAGAGUCAUCAAUCUUUUUUUGUUAUACUAUUACAUUUUAUGUCAUAAUUCAAUAUGUGAUUAAUUUUACUACAAAAAAAAAGGUUUGCAUUAGUAUGUAAAUAUAAUGAAAACUGGUGAAUAUUAUCUAUCAAUCGUGGAUCAAUAUGUGUAAUAAAUACUAUAGUUUAGGUCACGCGGUUCUCUUAGGAGUUAGGAGGACUAAAAGAAAAGCCUUAUUUAUUUUUUGUUGAUCGACAUGAAAGCAAGUAGCUUAGCAGCUCACCUACAUAGAAGGCCGUCUCAUUAGUUGAGUGACUCAUUAAUAUACUUGGCUAUGUAUAGCUUUACCAAUUAAUGUCUAUACAGCUGUGUAUCCAACUAUGUAGAUGAAAAUAACUGAUUAUAAUACAUUUUGGAUACAUACAUAUAUUGAUAGAAAGGUAUAGUUUUAAAUAAGUCAAAAUCUAGAUUAUGAGCAUGUCGACUAACCAUAUUUUGACUCUUUAGUGAGCUCGAGUCAUCUGCUAAUUUCAUCAUAAUUACAAACGUCUUGUUUUCUUGUAUAAAGGUCAAUGAUAUAUUAAUAAAAUGGUAGAUAGUUGGGAGUGGGACAGCCCUUGAAUAGUUGAAUGUAUUCAAACUUACUGAUAUAUAUAUAUAUUUUUUUUUUUUGAAAGAAUUUUAAAUUUAUUCAUCUCAAAAAAACUUUUGUACAGAGAACUGCUAUGUUUCUUUAAUAAACAGAAAAUUCAAACUUUACUCCUAUACUUAUUCUCUUCCAAACCAAACCUCCAUUGCCUUUUCAUACUUAGCUUCAUUCUUCUUUCUAAGGGAAGUUACUCUGUUUCUCACCAGCUUAUCCAUUCUUACUGAUAUAUAUCAUAUAUGCUGUUUGUAACAAUUUAUGGAUAUGUAUUAGUAUAUAUGAAUAAUUACACAUGAUGUGUUAAUAUUGAAGCAGCAACCCACCACGUGAACCUUGAAAGGAAAAAUAGACUUAAACGUAUAUAUGCGCUUGAAAAUUCACAGAAAAGUGAAUACUAAAAAGCUAUGGUAUGAAUUAUGAUGAUGAUGCGGUAGGUAAUCCACUUUGAUGUUUACCUUGUAGAAUAAAAUGGAGUUGGAAAAUUAAGAAUGCUUUACUUCCUCAGCUUCGGUUUGUUUGGCCAUCCAUCGAAACAAACAAUGACUCUCUUGACUUGCUUUCUUGAGAAAAGCCAUUUGGUCAAAUAUUGUUAAUUGUAAUGGUUCUAUGUCCCCAUGGUCAUGGUUCAGAAUAUAAUCAGUGUUAUGGUCCAAAUGAAACAUAUUUUCGAAAAUGGGUAUAGUAGCUAGCAGUUAAAGAAACUACCUUAUAAAUUAUUGAGCCCAAAAGAGGUCCAAUAAAAAAGCCUUAUCAUAAAUGGGCUAAACCCAAACCGAAGCUAAACCAUAAUAUUUACUCUCUUUUGGUGUCUUUGUUAGAUUGAAACCAAAAUCAAAGCAGACAGACCAAAUUUUAUGUCUGAAAACAUGGGGGACUCAAAUCAGAACUACGAAACCAAGCAAAUGUCAGAAGACUUGCAUUAACAAUUAAUUUAAAGCAGAUAAAUCCACAGCUAAAUAAAAUAGAGAAGCAAAACAAAUCGAUGAAACAAACAGAGAUCACCAAAUCACAAAUAUUUUCAGGCUCUGGGAAACAAAACCAAAAAAAGAAGAUAAAGCGACAAGAGUAAUCUUAAAAGAAACAAAGGAAAUCUCAGGAUCUGGUCUUGAAAGGAAUGGCUCGGAUGACAAGCUGGUGGUAGAGAGCCGCAAGAGCUGCUCCGAUGAAUGGUCCCACCCAGAAUAUCCACUGCAUGCAAGCAACACAAAACACCCACCAAAAUCAAUAAUCACUACUAACCAAGAAGGAAAAUAAAUGAUCUAAAGUAAGUUGUAUAGUGUCGAGGGAGGGACUCACGUGGUCAUCCCAAGAGUGGUCCUUGUUAUAGAUGAUUGCAGCUCCUAGACUCCGAGCUGGGUUAAUACCGGUCCCGGUGAUCGGAAUCGUCGCCAAGUGAACCAAAAACACAGCGAAUCCGAUCGGGAGUGGAGCCAAAAUCUGCAAAGUUUAAGAGUUAAUACACCAACAUUAAAAAUUUAAAACACAAACAUUUAGUCUCUCGAACUUACCGGAACGUGGGAGUCACGCGCGCUUCUCUUGGCGUCGGUGGCGGAGAAGACGGUGUAGACAAGGACGAAGGUUCCGAUGAUCUCCGCUCCGAGGCCGGAUCCUUUGGAGUAGCCGGGAGCGACGGUGUUGGCUCCGCCGCCGAGGGUUUGGUAGGGAGUAGGCUGGAAGCCUUUGACAACACCGGCGCCGCAGACGGCACCGAGGCAUUGCAUGACGAUGUAGAGGACAGCUCUGGUCAGUGAAAGUUUCCGAGCUAAGAACAGACCGAAAGUCACCGCUGGGUUUAUGUGUCCACCAGAGAUUCCGGCAGUGCAGUAGACGAGGGCAAAGAUCAUGCCACCGAAAGCCCAAGCUAUGCCUUGGAUUCCAACGGAGGCACACAUGUUUGGUGCUCUCUUCACUCCCAUCACUGUCAAUACUGUGAUGUAAAGGAAGAGGAAGGUAGCUAUGAACUCUGCUAUACCGGCUCUCCAGAACGACCACGAGCUCAGCUCCCCUGGCUCGAACAGCGGCGCUGGUGGUGGCUCCUUGUAGUCCUUGUCCGUCUGAGCCGAUGUCCCGAUGGGCUGCCUCUCUGGGAACUUGUUCGCUCCCACUCUCACAUCCUCUUCUUUCCCUUCCAUUUUUUCUCUUUUCCCUCUCUUUCUAGAAGAACGUUAAAGUUAUGCGAUGGAUAGUGAGUGAAUGGCUGAGAAGGAGAGAAAGGGUGUGGUUUUAUAAAGAAGAGAGAGAAGACGGCCUAACGUCUCGAAAACACUAAUUUCUUCUUCUUCUUUUUCUUUUCUUUUUUUCUUUUAGUGAAAGAAGAAACAUACAGGGAAUCAUUCCUGGAUAACGAUGAUCUUUAAACUGUUUUUAAUUCACGACAUUAGCUGUUGUGAUAGGGACAUUAUGGCUUUUAAUCAUGUAACAAAACCCCACGCUACUGUUUUUAUAUUCUGAAACUCCAAAACACCACUAGCAUGUUUUGUGAGCUGAUUUAUCAUUUUUUUCUAACUUAUAAUGACCGGCAAUUGUUAAUUCAUUUUUGUAAUGAACCGAAGCAGCUUAAGCAACCCUUUAAGCUACCUGGUUAAAGGUGCUCUUAGUUUCGUGAAUCGUAAUUGUGAAGCACAACUUAACUAUUAUAGUAUUAUCGUAUAGGUUAAAUUAUAAGCAAUCAUGCAGACGAUUGGUCCUCUGAGCUGUCUUUAUUUCUUGAUGGUUUUACCAACGAAGAAAGCGGGACCUAAUUUAUCUUCUCUUACAGACCUAAGCUCACUGUUAAAAUGUAAAAUGUUUUGGCAGAAAUAAGCUGUAAAAGUGGAAUAGUAACUUUUGACUAGCACGACGAUAUAAAAUUUACUUCCGACCGUUGGAGAAAGAAAGGGAAGAUUUGUGUGGAAGGAAAGUGACUGCUUUAUGUAGAAAGCACAGUCGUCUGGACUAUUGUGCCAGGCCUCGAAUAAAGUUUAGCCAGGUAUUAUUACCUGUACUAACGACAAAAUAAUAUAAUUUGUAAAUCAGAUGUUCUUUUAUUCAAAGCUCAUUAGUAGAUUAAAGGUCCUAGGGAAUGAAGAAAGAAAAAGGGUAGUAAGAAAAUUAAAGGGGUAGUGAGAAUAAAAUGUUAGGAAGUAGGGCAUUUUAGAUUAUUUUUUUGGUUAAUAAAAAAAAUAGAAGGGACAGAAGAAAGAGAAGAGGUAGUGAAAAAAUUAAGGGGUAUUGAAAAUAAAAUGUUAAGAAAUAGGAUGUUUUAGAUUAAUUUUUUGGUUAAUAGAAAGAAGAAAUAGAGUUAAUUAGUUAGGAAAAAGGAAGUGGGAUCCAGACAAGAGUAGUGCAAAAAUUAAGGGGUAGUGAGAAUAAAUUGUUAGGAAGUAGGGUGUUUUAGAUUAGUUUUUUGGUUAAUAUAAAAAAAAGAAGAGUUAAUUAGUUUUCCUAUUUAAAGAGGUAGAGAGCACAUAUGUAAAGAUUGAACAGCUCAGAAAUGUAUUUUGCUUUUCUGUGAUCACAUGAUGCUUCUCUACUCCCACUUUCUUUCUUUAUCUCUUUUUUGUUAAAGUUCUUUAUUUUUCGCUUCUCAGUCCUUUUUUGUUUGUUUGUUUGUCAACUGUUACUGAUUUAUAUAGUAAUAACUAGGGUCGGCCCGCCCUACGGGCGGGACUUUUAUUAUACUUUUUAAUAUUUGUUUAAAUUUUUAAAUGUUUAGUUUAAUAAUAUAUAUUAAUCAUUAAUAUUAUUUAUGUAGUUUUUGUGUUAAUAUUCAGCUUCCCUUUUUUUCUUGACUAACUUUUUUUAGGUUUCUUGAAAUUGUAUAAAUGAAACUAUAUUUUAUUUUUCUUACAUCGAUGCAUAUUUCUAAUAUAUUUUAAAAGUCUUUACGAUUUUAAAUAUAACUAAUAACUUUUCAUUAUGUUAACAAUUUUGAAUAUAACUAAUAAUUUAUAAAUACAAAAUAUUUUAAUUUCUCUUAAAAAUAAUAAUUAUGCUAUAAAAAUAUAUCUUUAUUUAUUAUAAUAAUGUAUAAAUAAUUUUAAAAUUUAUUUAUUAUUUACUUUUGUUAUUUUUAUUUAAAAAUAUAUGUUUACCUAAAUAAAAACAUUUUAUUAUGUCAUUAUUUUACAUUUUUCAAUACUGGUAGUGAGAUUUAACAUAUGAGUUUUUUUUUUAUGUUUUAUAUAUUAAUAUUUAUUUUAUUUCUUACUCUCUUUGAAAUCUAUUUCUAAUUAUGUAAAACAGUAAACUUUACCUAGUAUGGAUCCAAUCGGACUACUUGACCGGUUCAUGGUUGUACCAACUAUAAACGUUCUAGGAUCGAUCCGCGCUUAGCACAUAAUAUAACUUACGUAUGAUUUGUAUGACAAUUUUAUUGUGUAUUUUGAUUGCAUGUGUUUUGUGUCAGCAUUUGCAACAGAAAUGUAUUAGAAUGUUUAUAGUUGUUAAGAAUCUUUAGGUGUGGAGAGAUUAUGUAGAUUAAAUUUAUUACAUUUUAUUUUAAUGUUUGUGUUUAGAAGUCGUUGCGUAUAAUAUAUUAUUUUUGUGGAUAUAUUGUGUUACAUAUAUUUUUCAAAUUAAAAUACAACUAUUUUAAUCGAAUUUAACCAAAUCGAACUAAUUGUAUUCAUUGUAUUAGUGUGAGUAUUCAUCUUAAAUGUGUAAGUACACAUUUGAUUUUAAAAACAAUUUGGUAUAUGUUAAUUUGUAAAACUAAAAUUAGAAUAAAAAAAGAUGAUCGGUACAAAGUAGCAUAAAAACAUAAUUGAUAAAAAAAAUUAUUAUUUAUUUACUUUAACGCCAAGAUUAUUUUCUUAAUUUUUUUACGAAAUCACAUUAAUAUAUAAAAGUAUUUAUGUUAAAUUUUAUGAAUUAUUUUAUUAUAAAAUUGACUUCAAAAAUAUAAAAAGGAAACUUAAGUAGAAAAAAAUAAUAUUGAUUAUUCAUUGAAUAUUAUUUUCUGUUAUUUAAACUAUUUUCUAAUAAUUAUAAAAAAAAGAUUUUAAAAUAAAAUGUUUAUUACUUUAAAAUAUAUUAUUUUUAGAUUAUUUUCUUAAAUGGAAGAUUAUUAAUUUAAUUUAAAAUAAAAUAUUAUUUUGUAAAUUUUCCUUUUUAUGAAUCAUAUUAUAUUUAAAAUAUAUUUUCGUUUUAAAACAUUAUAAAUGUUAUACCGAAAGGAAGCCAAAGGUAAAUGAUUAUGGCGUUUAACGGCGUAGGGCGUUGGACUAGACGGCCGUCGUGGAAGAUUAUACGGUUCUUGAGACGUUCUAUGGGGACUGUUGUGGCUGAUUUGGACUCAGGCACCAUGUAACCUUCCUGUUACAAGAGAAAAGCAAGUCGUUACCAAUCAUGUAGUAAAAGAUUCCAAAGUUAUACAAUUAUAGUAAGAAAGCUCGUAAAUUACUGAAAGUUUCAGUGGUUAGGAGAAAAAGAAAGAAAGGAAUGUUGAAAUAUGGGU